ACAAUUUCUUUUUUAUUCUUUUUGUAUUUAAGAUAUAGUUUGCUAAAUAUUUGCAGAAAUUAACUUGAUUUUCAAGCUUAUGAUAAGCCUGGAUAUCUGUUACUGUGGGUUUAGUUACAUGACACCAGUACCUCCAAAAUAUGGUUCAAAUUUCACCUCUAGAUCAUCAAAUCACAACAUAAGCAACAGAUGUGCAUUAUAAUCAGUGACCAGUCAUGUCACUUUUUUCAGUCUGCUGCUGAUUGUUCACUUCACGUUACUCAGUUAAUGCAUGCCAAUGAAAUCAUGGAGUGAUAUUGCCUCUUUAUCUUUCAGUGAUACACUUAUGUGAGAUUUUGAAAAGUGAAAAAUCAAAGGUGGAAUUGACCAAUAGAUGUAAAAGUACAACAAAUAAACAAAAAUGGCAAUGUUGAAAGUGAAACUGAAAUUCAACAGAAAUAAAAGAAAUAGCAGACUGGGGGGAUAUUGACUUUGACACCAUGAUGCCAGAGGAACUUAGUAAUGGCAAACUUAUCAAUAUAAAAUGAGGAUAUUGGUUGUCAACUAGGAGGGAUUUAGUCCCAUCCAUAUUUUCGCCAAAAACAGGUUGUGUGGUGGUCCUUGAUCUUGUCCAUCAAGUCCUUUUUCCCAAAGGAUAACUGAAGAAGAUCACAUACAUUCCAACUUAUUGAGUCUGAUAGGUAUUCAUCUGAUGAGCUCCUCUUCAACUGAGGAUUGAAAUGCUGUUUUUCUUCCCUGGUACAAUGUUAAAGCUUUAAACUCUCGUCAAUGAUGUGAUGUUUCAUCGGCAAUGAUCUACACUAGAAAAAUAAAGAUGUAGUUACUGACAAAAAAGCAGGAACUACUGCUCUAAGGAAAAAAAGGAGAGCUACAUGAGGACCACACAACUCCUGGAAGAGGUUUCCCUGGCAACACAACUUUUCCAUUCCUCUGGUUGCAGUGUUUUCAUCCAGUAGCCUGUCACCUCACUCAAAAGCAGGGCAAUGGAGAGAAAGAAACUUAUCAAGUUUUUUCUUUUAACUAGAGAGUAGCCUACUUAUUGGGUCCUGCAAUUAAUUUCAGUACUCCUGGCAGAUUUAUAAAGGAAGCUGCUGGAAGGAAUUCAUUCCCUUUUUGCUGUUCUGCCUUCCACCUUCCACUGUGUGAGGACACUGCAAGAAAGCCCUCAUCAGACACCAACCGCCAGCACCUAGAUCUUGGAAUUCUCAGCCUCCAGAACUACUCAGCCCGCCUGCACCCAGGUGAAAUAAACAGCCAUGUUGCUCACACAAAGCCUGUUUGGUGGUCUCUUCACAUGGACAUGCAUGAAAUUUGGUGCCGUGACUCGGAUCGGGGGACCUUCCUUGGGAGAUCAAUCCCCUGUCCUACUGCUCUUUGCUCCGUGAGAAAGAUCCACCUACGACCUCAGGUCUUCAGACCAACCAGCCCAAGAAACAUCUCACCAAUUUCAAAUCUGGACCCCACUGGAAAUUGGACUGUUCAACUCACCUGGCAGCCACCCCCAGAGCUCCUGGAACUCUGGCCCAAGGCUCUCUGACUCCUUCCCAGAUCUUCUCGGCUUAGCAGCUGCAGACUGACACUGCCCGAUCGCCUCGGAAGCCCCCUAAACCAUCAUGGACGCCGAGCUUCAGGUAACUCACACAGUGGAAGGUAAGUCCGUCCCCUUCUUAAUCAAUACAGAGGCUACCCACUCCACAUUACCUUCUUAAGGGCCUGUUUCCCUUGCCUCCAUAACUGUUGUAGGUAUUGACAGCCAGGCUUCUAAACCUCUUAAAACUCCCCAACUCUGGUGCCAACUUAGACAAUACUCUUUUAAGCACUCCUUUUAGUUAUCCCCACCUGCCCAGUUCCCUUAUUAGGCUGAGACACUUUAAAUUAUCUGCUUCCCUGACUAUUUCUGGACUACAGUAACAUCUCAUUGCCGCCCUUCUUCCCAAUCCAAAGCCUCCUUUGUGUCCUCCUCUUGUAUCCCCCCACCUUAACCCACAAGUAUAAGAUACCUCUACUCCCUCUUUGGCGACCGAUCAUGCACCCCUAACCAUCUCAUUAAAACCUAAUCACCCUUACCCCGCUCAAUGCCAAGAUCCCAUCCCACAGCAUGCUUUAAAAGGAUUAAAGCCUGUUAUCACUCACCUGUUACAGCAUGGCCUUUUAAAGCCUAUAAACUCUCCUUACCAUUCCCCUAUUUUACCUGUCCUAAAACCAGACAAAGCUUACAAGUUAGUUCAGAAUCUGAGCCUUAUCAACCAAAUUGUUUUGCCUACCCACCCCGUGGUGCCAAACUCAUAUACUCUCCUAUCCUCAAUACCUCCCUCUACUACCCAUUAUUCUGUUCUGGAUCUCAAACAUGCUUUCUUUACUAUUCCUUUGCACCCUUCAUCCCAGCCUCUCUUUGCUUUCACUUAGACUGACCCUGACACCCAUCAGGCUUAGCAAAUUACCUAGGCAGUACUGCCGCAAGGCUUCACAGACAGCCCCAAUUACUUCAGUCAAGCCCUAAUUUCAUCCUUAUCUGUUACCUAUCUCCGCAUAAUUCUCAUAAAAACACACGUGCUCUCCCUGCUGAUCGUGUCCGAUUAAUCUCCCAAACCUCAAUCCCUUACAAAACAACAACUCCUUUCCUAGGCAUGGUUAGUGCGGUCAGAAUUCUUAAGCAAGAGCCAGGACCCUCUAGCCUCUAGCCUUUCUGUCCAAACAACUUGACCUUACUGUUUUAGCCUAGCUCUCAUGUCUGUGUGCAGCGGCUGCUGCUGCUUUCAUACUUUUAGAGGCCCUAAAAAUCACAAACUAUGCUCAACUCACUCUCUACAUUUCUCAUAACUUCUAAAAUCUAUUUUCUUCCUCAUACCUGACGCAUAUACUUUCUGCUCCACGGCUCCUUCAGCUGUACUCACUCUUUGUUAAGUCCCACAAUUACCAUUGUUCCUGGCCCGGACCUCAAUCUGGCCUCCCACAUUAUUCCUGAUGCCACACCUGACCCCCAUGACUGUAUCUCUCUGAUCCACCUGACAUUCACCCCAUUUCCCCAUAUUUCCUUCUUUCCUGUUCCUCACCCGAUCAUGCUUGAUUUAUUGAUGGCAGUUCCACCAGGCCUAAUCACCACACACCAGCAAAGGCAGGCUAUGCUAUAGUACAAGCCACUAGCCCGCCUCUUAGAACCUCUCAUUUCCUUUCCAUCGUGGAAAUCUAUCCUCAAGGAAAUAACUUCUCAGUGUUCCAUCUGCUAUUCUACUACUCCUCAAGGAUUAUUCAGGCCCCCUCCCUUCCCUACCCAUCAAGCUUGAAGAUUUGCCCCUACCCAGGACUGGCAAAUUAGCUUUACUCAACAUGCCCCGAGUCAGAUAACUAAAAUACCUCUUAGUCUAAGUAGACACUUUCAGUAGAUAAGUAGAAGCCUUUCCUACAGGGUCUGAGAAGGCCACCGCAGCCAUUUCUUCCCUUCUGUCAGACGUAAUUCCUCAGUUUAGCCUUCCCACCUCUAUACAGUCUGGUGACAGACCAGCCUUUAUUAGUCAAAUCAGCCAAGCAGUUUUUCAGGCUCUUAGUAUUCAGUGAAACCUUUACAUCCCUUACGGUCCUCCAUCUUCAAGAAAAGUAGAAUGGACUAAAGGUCUUUUAAAAACACACCUCACCAAGCUCAGCCACCAACUUAAAAAGGACUGGAAAAUACUUUUACCACUUUCCCUUCUCAGAAGUCAGACCUGUCCUCAGAAUGCUACAAGUUACAGCCCAUUUAAGCUCCUGUAUAGACGCUCCUUUUUAUUAGGCCCCAGUCUCAUUCGACACCAGACCAACUUAGACUGUGCCCCAAAAAACUUGUCAUCCCUACUAUCUUCUGUCUAGUCAUACUCCUAUUCACCGUUCUCAACUACUCAUACACGCCCUGCUCUUGUUUACACUGCCAGUUUACACUGUUUCUCCAAGCCAUCACAGCUGAUAUCUCCUGGUACUAUCCCCAAACUGCCACUCUAAACUCUCGAAGUAAAUAAAUAAUCUUUGCUGGCAGGACUGUGCUGAAUCUCCUUAGGCACUCUCUAAUCAGAUGUCCUAGGUCCUCCCAAUUCUUAGACCUUUUAUACCUGUUUUUCUCCUUCUUUUAUUCCAUUUAGUUUCUCAAUUCAUCCAAAACCAUAUCCAGGCCAUCACCAAUAAUUCUAUAUGACAGAUGUUCCUUCUAACAUCCCCACAAUAUCACCCCUUACUACAAGAUCUCCCUUCAGCUUAAUCUCUCCCACUCUAGGUUCCCAUGCCGCCCCUAAUCCCGCUUGAAGCAGCCCUGAGAAACAUCGCCCAUUCUCUCUCCAUACCACUCCCCAAAAAUUUUUGCCGCCCCAACACUUCAACACUAUUUUGUUUUAUUUUUCUUAUUAAUAUAAGAAGGCAGGAAUGUCAGGCCUCUGAGCCCAAGCCAAGCCAUCGCAUCCCCUGUGACUUGCACUUAUACAUCCAGAUGGCCUGAAGUAACUGAAGAUCCACAAAAGAAGUAAAAAUAACCUUAACUGAUGACAUUCCACCAUUGUGAUUUGUUUCUGCCCCACCCUCACUGAUCAAUGUACUUUGCAAUCUCCGCCACCCUUAAGAAGGUUCUUUAUAAUUUCCCCAACCCUUAAGAAGGUUCUUUGUAAUUCUCCCCACCCUUGAGAAUGUACUUUGUGAGAUCCAUCCCUGCCCGCAAAACAUUGCUCUUAACUUCACCGCCUAUCCCAAAACCUAUAAGAACUAAUGAUAAUCCACCACCCUUUGCUGACUCUCUUUUCAGACUCAGCCCGCCUGCACCCAGGUGAAAUAAACAGCCAUGUUGCUCACACAAAGCCUGUUUGGUGGUCUCUUCACAUGGACGCGCAUGAAAGAUAUGAACUGGAUUUUUUAAACACAUUAUUUUUAGGUCUGGGAAAAAUAAUGACCUUUUAUUUCUUCUCUAUAUUACUUUUCAGGGUAUGUUUACCAUUAAGCUUUUCCCAACUAAUGCUCCAUACUAAUUCCUCUGGCAUUCAUGAACAGAGAAUUAUAAGGGCUAAUUCUCUUGAAAGUCAGAGUUAAACAGUGAGUCAUUGGGGAUUGCAAGAACUUUUAUUUGAUUUUCCUCUAAAUGUUAAAUAGGUUUUAAAGAAAGCAUUGAUAAGCUAACAGGUAAUAAAAACAUAAGCCCUUUAAUACAAAAGUUUAAAGAAUAACCAGAAAAAACAUAUAAUGAAGAAGAAAGAUAGGCAAGUAAAAAUUGCUGCCUAUAGGAUUGCUUUAAGCAACCACAUAAUUUAUCAUCCAAACUGAUCAUUUUGAAAAUGCACUAUUAAUACUUACAUUGGAACAGUAUGUGUGACCUGUGUCUGUUCCAGUUAAAGCAGGAUGUGUGAUCACCCUAGAACUGCCUACUCAGGAAUUUCCAAUAUACAUUAAUAUAAAGGUAACAGCUUAAUUCUUAUCUCUAUUCCUCAAAAGGAAGAAGCAAUAAGGGUAUCAGGCUUACUCUUCACAUUCAAAACACUUUUUUAAAAGUUGAAUUCAGAUUGUAAAUAAUAAUUUCAAAAAAGAGGUGUUUUGAAAAUCAUUGGAUAAUUUAUAUGUUUAACGUGCAUUUUUUAAAAAUGGUCAUUUUGCUAUAUCUUUUUUAAAGUCAUAAAUGAAGUCUAAGAAAUAAAACAAGCAGAGACAAUGUCCUUCAGAGUAAAAAAUAGUCUAAAAAUAUUUCACUUAGAGAACAGAAAUAGAAUAAAGUUUAUUGAAAUAUUAUCUACAUAAUAAAAGUGGUUUUAUGGUUUUUAAUCUAUUAAGCCAGGUUUAAAAAUUAAACAUAGGAAAUAAGCCUUAAUUAUAAUUUUACAUGUGACAUAAAAUAAUAAGGCAUUUUGUAAUUAUUAUCUUUGAAAUUCUGCUAGAAAUAUCAUUGUUUAUU